rnacentral:misc_RNA from 1 species
GAUGAAGAACGUAGCGAAAUGCGAUAAGUAGUGUGAAUUGCAGAAUUCAGUGAAUCAUCGAAUCUUUGAAUGCACAUUGCGCCCCUUGGUAUUCCAUGGGGCAUGCCUGUUCGAGCGUCAUUUGUACCUUCAAGCUUUGCUUGGUGUUGGGUGUUUGUCCCGAGGGACUCGCCUUAAAGUAAUUGGCAGCCAGUGUUUGGUUUUGAAGCGCAGCACAAGUCGCGAUUCAAGGCUACACGCCCGCUUCCACAAGCCUUUUUUCACUUUUGACCUCGGAUCAGGUAGGGAUACCCGCUGAACUUAAGCAUAUCAAUAAGCGGAGGA